rnacentral:rRNA from 1 species
UCUUCCCUCUGGCGGCGUGCCUAAUACAUGCAAGUCGAGCGAACAGACGAGGAGCUUGCUCCUCUGACGUUAGCGGCGGACGGGUGAGUAACACGUGGAUAACCUACCUAUAAGACUGGGAUAACUUCGGGAAACCGGAGCUAAUACCGGAUAAUAUAUUGAACCGCAUGGUUCAAUAGUGAAAGACGGUUUUGCUGUCACUUAUAGAUGGAUCCUCGCCGCAUUAGCUAGUUGGUAAGGUAACGGCUUACCAAGGCGACGAUGCGUAGCCGACCUGAGAGGGUGAUCGGCCACACUGGAACUGAGACACGGUCCAGACUCCUACGGGAGGCAGCAGUAGGGAAUCUUCCGCAAUGGGCGAAAGCCUGACGGAGCAACGCCGCGUGAGUGAUGAAGGUCUUCGGAUCGUAAAACUCUGUUAUUAGGGAAGAACAAAUGUGUAAGUAACUAUGCACGUCUUGACGGUACCUAAUCAGAAAGCCACGGCUAACUACGUG